rnacentral:rRNA from 1 species
GAUGAACGCUGGCGGCGUGCUUAACACAUGCAAGUCGAACGAAGCACUUUAUUUGAUUUCCUUCGGGACUGAUUAUUUUGUGACUGAGUGGCGGACGGGUGAGUAACGCGUGGGUAACCUGCCUUGUACAGGGGGAUAACAGCUGGAAACGGCUGCUAAUACCGCAUAAGCGCACGGCAUCGCAUGAUGCAGUGUGAAAAACUCCGGUGGUAUAAGAUGGACCCGCGUUGGAUUAGCUAGUUGGUGAGGUAACGGCCCACCAAGGCGACGAUCCAUAGCCGACCUGAGAGGGUGACCGGCCACAUUGGGACUGAGACACGGCCCAAACUCCUACGGGAGGCAGCAGUGGGGAAUAUUGCACAAUGGGCGAAAGCCUGAUGCAGCGACGCCGCGUGAGCGAAGAAGUAUUUCGGUAUGUAAAGCUCUAUAAGCAGGGAAGAUAAUGACGGUACCUGACUAAGAAGCACCGGCUAAAUACGUG